rnacentral:sRNA from 1 species
AUGAGAAGCUUCGACUAAGGUUCGACUCGAGCGAAGCGAGAGAACGUUGCCGCAGGCAACGGCCCGAAGGGCGAGGCGCUUUAGCGCCGAGUAAUCCUUCCCCCACCACCA